ensembl:misc_RNA Metazoa_SRP Metazoan signal recognition particle RNA
GCCGGGCGCGGUGGCUCACGCCUGUAAUCCCAGCACUUUGGGAGGCCGAGGCGGGUGGAUCACCUGAGGUCAGGGGUUCUAGACCAGCCUGGCCAACAUGGUGAAACCCCGUCUCUA